rnacentral:ncRNA from 2 species
UGGAAGUAAAAGUCGUAACAAGGUUUCCGUAGGUGAACCUGCGGAAGGAUCAUUACCGAGUGAGGGCCCUCUGGGUCCAACCUCCCACCCGUGUUUAUUUUACCUUGUUGCUUCGGCGGGCCCGCCUUAACUGGCCGCCGGGGGGCUUACGCCCCCGGGCCCGCGCCCGCCGAAGACACCCUCGAACUCUGUCUGAAGAUUGUAGUCUGAGUGAAAAUAUAAAUUAUUUAAAACUUUCAACAACGGAUCUCUUGGUUCCGGCAUCGAUGAAGAACGCAGCGAAAUGCGAUACGUAAUGUGAAUUGCAAAUUCAGUGAAUCAUCGAGUCUUUGAACGCACAUUGCGCCCCCUGGUAUUCCGGGGGGCAUGCCUGUCCGAGCGUCAUUUCUGCCCUCAAGCACGGCUUGUGUGUUGGGCCCCGUCCUCCGAUCCCGGGGGACGGGCCCGAAAGGCAGCGGCGGCACCGCGUCCGGUCCUCGAGCGUAUGGGGCUUUGUCACCCGCUCUGUAGGCCCGGCCGGCGCUUGCCGAUCAACCCAAAUUUUUAUCCAGGUUGACCUCGGAUCAGGUAGGGAUACCCGCUGAACUUAAGCAUAUCAAUAAGCGGAGGAA